GAAUUAAAGGUUCAAUUAUAUCAACCUCAUUCAGCCGACAAAGGAAUCUCAAAGUAACUCCACGAAUGUACUCAUUUGGAUGCUGCAAGUUAUUCCUCAAGUUCUGACAAAUUAGGACCAUUUCAGGCAGCAUGCUCCCCUUAGAAUCGGUCUUCUCAAUAGUCUCCAGAUAAAGAAGCAGCAGCUUUUGAAUCGUGUGAAGGGAAUUAGGACCAUUUCAGGCAGCAUGCUCCCCUUAGAAUCGGUCUUCUCAAUAGUCUCCAGAUAUAGAAGCAGCAGCUUUUGAAUCGUGUGAUCCUCAGAGGGCAAGACAUAUCUAAUAAUAGUAAUAAAUAGCUGGGGUAGUGUUUCACCAUU
rnacentral:lncRNA from 1 species